rnacentral:rRNA from 1 species
AAACUAUUUUCUUAUCUAAGAACCACAUUUCUAAGAAUUAGCACACUAAUUUAAUAUGAUCCGAUNAACGAUCAACGAACCAAGUUACCCUGGGGAUAACAGCGCAAUCCAUUUCAAGAGCCCCUAUCGACAAAUGGGUUUACGACCUCGAUGUUGGAUCAGGAUAUCCCAGUGGUGCAGCAGCUACUAAAGGUUCGUUUGUUCAACAAUUAA